CUUCUGUUGCAGGAACUGGAGAGGAGAGGGGGCGCUUGCUGGACUGCGCGUUAAUAUCUGACGCCGAAGCCUGCAGCCGCUUGGGUUGACAGGAAAAGGCGAUGGCGGCCAAUUCCAGCCUCUUGGCGCUUUGUCGAGCUGCUAGCUGCCAGCAACGGGAUAAAUUGGUUUCCCCGGUCUGCUCGCAAGAAUUGUCCUUGCCGAACGGCCUACGCGUUCGCCCGCCGCUGUUCGAACCACCUUAGCUUGCGUAGCGGCGGUGGAUACCAAGCUGCAGCUGGUUGAGUUCUCGCCAGCCUCCGUGUCCGCGCGAUGGCCGAAAGCAGCCAACUCCUCGUCACAGUCAGAGCGUCGCUCGUCCGGUCGUUAUCGCCGCCCUCCGGCCAAUUGGCGCGCGGGGCUGGCCGUCGCAUCGCCCGACUGCAAACGUGGAGGCGUGCCCCGAACUUCGAAACAGCUGCAGGUGGGGUACCGGGUUCAGCUCGCUGCAUGAAGACGUACCCCGCCGUCCGCUUGGUUCGGCCCCGCUGCGAAGCGCGUGUGACGUCAUCGUGCCGAAUGGCACGGAGGCAGACCUUCGUUGGAUUCUCCCCGCUGGCUGACAAUGUCCUGUGACCCAGGAGACCGACGACGCUGGGCACGCGGCUGGCGCGCGGCGACGGGGUGCGAGGAGCGCGACUAUAAGGAUGGCGCGCUCGCUCAUCCCCAGCGACGGCCCAUCAGCACCUGAGGCGCCGACCGGGAGACCGACGACGCCGGGCACGCGGCUGGCGCGCGGCGACGGGGUGAGAGAAGCGCGACUAUAAGGAUGGCGCGCUCGCUCAUCCCCAGCGACGGCCCGCCAGCACCUGAGGCGCCGACCGGGAGGCCUGCGGUGAUAGCUGUCGCGCUGCGGGCGGGGACCGGACGCGCCGCGACGGAGACGGCGCCGGCCGGAGGGAAAGGCUGCUCCCUGCGCGGGGUCUGGCUGACUGAAGAUGCUAGACGCCUGGCCCUACCCCGGAUGAGGAUAGUGUUCACCGGAGCGGGGUACUAAGUCACCCGGACCGGUGGUCACGAAUCAGCCCGGAAGAGCGUUCAAUUGCUGGCAUUCACGGCCUGUUCAAGUCAACGGCGUGAGAUCCGUUUCGUCGCUUGGAGUGCAUCGCCCGAGUUGGCCGUGCCUGCACCAACGCUUGAUCUGCACUCGGCGUUACAACACCAGCAGAGUGAACCAUCGGGGAAUGCUGCAUAUCGUGAUACGUGUCUUACGCUGGCACCGGCUGGGUGCGUUGGGGGGGGGGGGGAUUGUGACCCGCGGAACACAACGUUAAGGAGCUAGUGCGAUGUCUGAUACUGUGCAAUAAACGUGCCAUGCAAGUU